rnacentral:rRNA from 1 species
GAUGAACGCUGGCGGCGUGCCUAAUACAUGCAAGUCGAGCGAACGGACGAGAAGCUUGCUUUUCUGAUGUUAGCGGCGGACGGGUGAGUAACACGUGCAUAACCUACCUAUAAGACUGGGAUAACUUCGGGAAACCGGAGCUAAUACCGGAUAAUAUUGUGAACCGCAUGGUUCAACAAUGAAAGACGGUCUUGCUGUCACUUAUAGAUGGAUCCGCGCUGCAUUAGCUAGUUGGUAAGGUAACGGCUUACCAAGGCAACGAUGCAUAGCCGACCUGAGAGGGUGAUCAGCCACACUGGAACUGAGACACGGUCCAGACUCCUACGGGAGGCAGCAGUAGGGAAUCUUGCGCAAUGGGCGAAAGCCUGACGGAGCAACGCCGCGUGAGUGAUGAAGGUCUUCGGAUCGUAAAACACUGUUAUUAGGGAAGAACAUAUGUGUAAGUAAAUGUGCAUAUCUUGACGGUACCUAAUCAGAAAGCCACGGCUAACUACGUG